rnacentral:rRNA from 1 species
GAUGAACGCUAGCGAUAGGCUUAACACAUGCAAGUCGAGGGGCAGCAUGAUCUUAGCUUGCUAAGGUCGAUGGCGACCGGCGCACGGGUGCGUAACGCGUAUGCAACUUGCCUUACAGAGGGGGAUAACCCGUUGAAAGACGGACUAAAACCGCAUACACUUGUAUUAUUGCAUGAUAUUACAAGGAAAUAUUUAUAGCUGUAAGAUAGGCAUGCGUCCCAUUAGCUUGUUGGUGAGGUAACGGCUCACCAAGGCGACGAUGGGUAGGGGAACUGAGAGGUUUAUCCCCCACACUGGUACUGAGACACGGACCAGACUCCUACGGGAGGCAGCAGUGAGGAAUAUUGGUCAAUGGGCGAGAGCCUGAACCAGCCAAGUCGCGUGAAGGAAGACAGUCCUAAGGAUUGUAAACUUCUUUUAUACGGGAAUAACGGGCGAUACGAGUAUU